rnacentral:rRNA from 1 species
UACAGAGGAUGCAAGCGUUAUCCGGAAUGAUUGGCGUAAGCGCGUGUAGGCGGCUUGCAAGUCGGUGUGAAGCCUCAGCUCAACUGAGGAAGUGCGCCGAACUGCAGAGCUUGAGUACCGGAGAGGUGCGGAAUUCCAAGUAGAGUGAAUUCGUAGAUAUGGAGACACCGGUGCGAGCGCACUGACGUCACUGACGCUGAGACGCGAAGCGUGAGCAACAG